rnacentral:rRNA from 1 species
UACGUAGGGUGCGAGCGUUGUCCGGAAUUAUUGGGCGUAAAGAGCUCGUAGGCGGUUUGUUGCGUCUAUCGUGAAAACCUGCAGCUUAACUGUGGGCUUGCGGUGGAUACGGGCAGACUUGAGUUCGGUAGGGGAGACUGGAAUUCCUGGUGUAGCGGUGAAAUGCGCAGAUAUCAGGAGGAACACCGGUGGCGAAGGCGGUUCUCUGGGCAUGUUCUGACGCUGAGGAGCGAAAGCGUGGGGAGCAAACAGG